rnacentral:lncRNA from 1 species
ACACACUUUAGGGAGGGGACCGAUUUCCCUCUAAAAAGAAUUCUUUCCAUUCACUCUUAAUGGAUUCUCUCAUCUUUGUCACUCUCUUAACUAUAUAACACACACACAUAAACGAAAAGGGGAGCUGGAGGCCAAACAAAAACCUAGCAGCUUCCUUCUUCUUCACCAUAUUUUUUAUACAAGAAUACUUCAUCUUCCUCACUUAGCUUCACCAUAAAAAUCACUGUUCACUUCUAAAAUUCAGCCAUGAAAUGCAAUUGAAUCACCAGCAAAAUACACCCCCAAACAUCCCCAAAAACUAGCAGCUCGGAUCCAGUCCAAAACGUCACACAAAACAGCAAAAUUUCGAGCUCAAAAUAGUCCCAAAACUCAUGUAAAACUCCAUUAAAUUUAGCCAUAAACCACCAGCAAAAAGGACCUCCAAACCCAGCUUCAUCUCCACCCUAAAACACCCCAUAAAACACCUCAAAAUUCAACCCCAAAGAGCAGCGAAAACAGCUGCAAAAUUGCUGAAGAAAGCUGUCAAAUAUUGACCUGAAACAUUCCCAAAAUCACUCCAAAACCCAGCUGAAAAAUCAGCCAAAUUUCAUUCCCAAACUAGAGCAAAAGUGGGCAAAAAACGCAGCCAAAAACAGCCGCAAAUCAGCUGCCGAUAACCGCCAAAAAUAGCCCCGAAAAGCCAUGAAAAUCGGCCCGAAAACCAGCUGAAACAGUCACCCAAAACUAGCUGGAACGCAAUACCAAACCACCCCAAAAAUAGUCCUCAUAGCACCAUAUUUGUCGAUAAGCAUAGCUUCAUUUCAACUGGGUAAGACCACCCACGUUUAGUCGAGUUUUUUUUUGGAGUCGAGUUCGAGACUUCCGGAGCGGGUUUCGAUUUGUGGUUCCUUUGGUGCGAGAAUUCAGGAGUUUCAUUUGCUCAUGUAACUGAAGAAGUUUCCAUCUAUACAAAGGUCAUUUUUCUCUUUAUAUUAUGGUUUUAGUUGAUAUUUUACUAUGAUUGGCCUAGCUAAAAGUUUUCAACUGCUUUGUUUGUUUACAUCUCUGAGAACGUGUGUUGGAUGUUUGUUUUGUUUGCUAAUUCUUGAGAAGAAGAAAUAUGACUUGAAUCUUAAUCCUUCAUAAUGCAUAAGUUUGGUAUUCUAAUUCAAAGACUUAAGUGAAUGAAAUUUUGUGUUAUCUGAGAAACAUGCCAUUAUUUUUAUACCAUUUUAGCCUGAGUCAGUAUGUUAAGAAAGGCAAAUUUAAUGUGAAUUGCUGCGAAUGAAUUUGAAAUGUGGGGUGCGCUAUGAUAAUUCAAAUGGGCCAUUUGGUCGACUAGAAUCAGAAUAGAGUUUGGAUCUUUCUAUUAGAACUAGGCCGAAAAGAUUUAGUCUUACGAGACCCAGAGUAAUAAAUAAUAUAGCUGACCCAUCUUUUCUUGCCUUACAAUCAUCUCAAACCUUAAGAAAUUAAUCAAUUAUCGAACAUCGUAGCUUGCUUUAGGCAUGAUUAAUAAUAAAAUAUCGUGACUAUGGGUACGAUUCCUGUGGCAUGGUCACGAUACAUAAAUGCCCAUUCAAGUACGUGUUUCACGCGACUUGACCUCAACUUCAAAUAAUAAUGAAAAUUAACAUGUUGUAAAUCACGGGUGCAUUUCACGUGGCGCGAUUCGUAAUGUGUAUAAAAAUAAACGAGUGCGCAACAUCGUGACUUAUUCAAAUAAAUUCUAUAAGUAUUAAAAGUGGUGAAAGAGUAAAAAUGCACAAUAGGUUUUAAAUAUGUAAUAAAUCAUAUAACUAGGCCAAUUAUUAAUAGUUAAGCGACCGUGCUAAAAUUACGGAACUCAAGAGUGCCUCACACCUUCUUCCGUAUUAAUAGAAUUCCUUACUCGGUCUUCUAUGUUCGCGGACCGUAAAAUAGAGUCAAAUUUCCUUGAUUUGAGAUUUAAAAUGAACCGUUGACUUGGGACACCAUCAAAAUUAUUCCAAAUGGCGACUCUAAAUAAAUAAAUAAUCUCAUUUCAAAUUAUGACACUUUAAUUGAAAAAAACUCUCGAUCCCUCGGGAAAAAGGAGGUGUGACAGCUCUGGCGACUCUACUAGGGACAUGAACCCAGAGUCUCUAGUUCAGGGUUCAGAAUUCGAGCUUAGAAUAAUUUUUAUACCUGGAUUUUGCUUAUUAUCUGAUUUCUUUACAUGUUUGAGCCUCAUGUGCUAAAUACCGCUUUUUACCGCUUUGAUAUUGUUUGAACUGUAUAUAAAACUGUUACGAAACCCUUAUUCUCUCUAAGGCUUCUAAAUCUUCUGGGAAGUGCAUGCUGGUGUGACUUCUUUUCUGUUAGUGUCAUACCCUAAUUUAGAACGAGGAUCAGAUCAGUUAUAAAAUCGGAUGGCCUUUUGGUUCCCGGUACGUUGCCCCCCUCGGCUCGAGUUGUCUCGUCGGGUAAGUCUCCAUACCUUUAAGCUCUUAAACUUAGAAGAACAUAGCCUCAUGCCAGAUCCCUAGUACGUACGCUAGUUUGCAUCACGUGUAUUUGACUUUGGGGACUCAACACAGGGGUUGGAUCCGUCUAGGACAGGUAUACCCAAAUUAAAAGACCAUCAUGAUGCAUCUUACGUGCUACUUGUGUAUUUGUUUGUUCGGCUUGCAUGUUGACUGGCUUCUAGAGUAUGGAAAGAAAAUCAAGAAAAAAUAGGAGAGAGAAAAUUGACCUGAUUCCUAAAAUUUCGGUAUUUGAAAAAAAAAAAAAAUCCUGAAACUCUGUCGAAUUUUUAGAAGGUUGUCACAAAUGAGUCCAAAUUUUCAAAAAUAACAUUUUCCACUGGUCCUGAAAAACUAACCGAACUACGAGGGUCUGAUUCUCACCGGAUGUGAGAUACGUAGGCAAACCUCAUCGGUUUCGGCACACAAUUUUCAAAAAACAAAAAUUCAAAUAUAUUUUCCUUUACUUCCUUCUUUAGAAAGUCUUUCUUUUAGACCCCAAUAUUUUAAAAAAAAUACAAACAAAAUUUCUUUUAAUUUCUUCUCAAAAUCCAAAAAUAUUUUCAUUCUUCUUUCGAAAAUUGAAAAGAAAAUUCAAGAUUCAAAAAUAUUUUCUUUUUUCUUUAGAAGUAUUUCUUUCAUAAAUUCAAAAUAAAAGUCCAAAAAUGCAAAAAUAUUUCCUUUCUUUUUUAGAAGUUUUUCUUUCGAAAUUUCUGGAAAAAACAAAGAGAAAAAAAAUCGAAAUUCAAAAAAAAAAAAAAUUCUUUCUACUUUAGAAGUCUUUCUUUUAAAAAAUUCUCAAAAACAAAAGCCAAACAAAUCGAAAUCCAAAAAUAUUUUAUUUCUUCUUUAUAAGUCUUUCUUUCGAAAAUUAAAAAAAACUUCAAAAUCCAAAAAAAGAGUGAGUUUAUUUACUUUAUUCAUGAUCUUCCCGAACUACGCAAAGAUCUGAUUCAUUUUUCCACAUGAUACGUAGGCAACCCACAUCAGGUUUGAUCGACCAUUUUUAAAAAAAAAAAACAUGAUGAUCAUAAUAAUAAGGACCGACUGAGUCCAUUCUAACGUGUCUUUUGUUUUGAAUGGUGAAGAAAGUUUAAGGUGGUCGGUUUGUGGUAAGCUAGCAACACAUCCAGAAUUCACAAGAUCCAAGGGAAAAAUGCCAAUGACAAUUGACAUCNNNNNNNNNNNNNNNNNNNNNNNNNNNNNNNNNNNNNNNNNNNNNNNNNNNNNNNNNNNNNNNNNNNNNNNNNNNNNNNNNNNNNNNNNNNNNNNNNNNNNNNNNNNNNNNNNNNNNNNNNNNNNNNNNNNNNNNNNNNNNNNNNNNNNNNNNNNNNNNNNNNNNNNNNNNNNNNNNNNNNNNNNNAUUUCCCAGAGUUCACAUCCAUCUCGACUACUACCAUUCCGGUCUCAUUGUUUGAUCAAUCUUAUCCAUCUGGGUUCAGUCUUUAUCCCAACUAUACGACUACACCUGGAACUUAUGUUGCGCGCUCCCAAAGUGUGCCAUUGACAACCAAUCAGACAACCACUACUGUUAUGACCGUCUUCACCAUCCCACAACCGACGGUGGUGCAGAGGAAAACUCAUGAGUCACAAUUUGCUACCCAGCAAGAACAGUACCACUCUCCUUAGUACCACUCCUACAUAUUUGAUCUUUCUGCAAAGAUUGAGAAGCCUGCCUGAAAGAUGGCACAGGAAGAAAUGACCCAAAGAAUAAAAAGCUUAGAACAACAGUUAAAAAAUAUGCAAGGGUUGGUAGGUCAGAAGAGUAUUGCCUUCAAGGAUCUAUGUAUGUUCCCCGAUGUUCGUUUGCCACUUGAUUUCAAGACUCCCAAAUUUAAAAAAUAUGAUGGACAUGGAUACCCCAUAGCCUACCUGAAAAGGUAUUGCAAUCAACUAAGAGGUGUGGGAGGAAAGGAAGAAUUACUGAUGGCUUAUUUUGGGGAAAACCUUACGGGACUAGCCUCCGAAUGGUUUAUGGAUCAAGACACAUCUCGCUGGUAUGUAUGGGAUGACAUGGCCCAGGACUUUGUUAAAUAGUUCCAAUACAACAUCGGCAUCGCCCCAGACCGCAAUUCCCUUUCUAACCUGAAGAAGAAACCAACUGAAAGUUUCAGGAAAUAUGCCAUUAAAUGGAGAAAGAGCAAGCGGCUAGAGUUAAGUCACCCAUGGAUGACCACGAGCUAAUCAUUGUUUUCCUUCAGGCUCAAGAGCCAGAUUAUUUUCAAAGCAUGAUGUCCGCAGUUGGCAAACCUUCUCGGAAGUAAUCAAAAUUGGGGAAAUGGUUGAGAAUGGCCUAAAGAAAGGUAGAAUUAUAAGUCAAGCGGUUCUCAAAGCUAUAACUCAGGCUGUCCAGAUUGAAUCUGUUAAUUAUCGUGACACGAAUGAGAAGGAUGAAGAAACCAUGAUGACAUCAGGGUCGAGAAGAGGUCCUAGGAGAACAUCUCGAAGGUACGACCAGCCUUGUCUAUUUUCCGAUGAUUCCCCUUAGCAAUAUUAUCCACCUUAGAACCCACAAUACUCUGUUGCUUCACCUCAGUAUAUUACCCAGCCACCAAGACACUCCAGAAGGCGAGCACAAACACCACAAAUUCUCCACCAGCCUUCACAAAAUUUUCAAGUGCCUUAUAACCCAUAUCCAAGCCAGGGGUAUAGAGGGGAACAAAGGUUGAAAGAUAAUUUUACACCAAUAGGAGAGUCCUAUGCAAGCUUGUUUGAGAAAUUAAAGCAUUAUGACAUGAUUGCAUUUAUUCCUCCAAAUUAUGUGGACCUACGUGCAAGAAGCUUUGACCCUUCUAAAAGGUGUGAAUACCAUUCCAAUGCCCAGGGGCACAGUGUUGAAAGCUUUCAGGAUUUGAAAAUAGAAAUAGAAAGGAUGAUCCAGGAAAACCUGAUUGUGAUCCAAGACAGUGACACCCAGAAUAUCGCGCAGAAUCCUCUGCCUGCAUAUGAUGAUGCACACUUUGUGGGGAUGAUACGCGGUGACAUAGAACAUGCAUAUCCUCUCGGGAACUUCCUGAUUGAAGUUAAUGAUAUUGACAUUGGAGAAGGACCUGGUGAUUCUGAUGAGCAAUUUUGUUGCUAAAUGUCAAGCUUAGCAAUUGAAAAGUCAUUUCCUCCUCACUAGGAAGGAAGCUUGGUAGCUUAUUUUGAUGUUUUUUCUAUUAUCUGGGUUAUUUCAGGGUUGUGAUCCAGAUUUUAUUUGUUUUAUUGAGUCAAACCCUUUUAUCCCUAUAUUCUGUUUGUGUGAGUCUUGUCUGUUUGUUCUGUUGCUAUUUUCAUUAUCCGGGUUAUUUUAGGGUUGUAACUCGAAUUUUAGGUUGUUUCUCUUGUUUUCAAACUCUUCCAUCCUUUACUCAAUGAAAUACAAUUUGUCCUUUUGUGCCAUUCUGUACUUAAUUCUUUUCCUGCUAGUUUUAGUGAUAUGACAUGCAUGCAGAAAGUUUUUCUAGAUCUUAGAAAACUGAUUUAAUCUUGAAUUGGAUAACUGAGAAAAAGACAUUUUUGUGGAUGAAUAAAGAGUCGAAACACUUUGGAAUUAAGCUCGAAUAAAAUUCACCUUCAAAUCAUUGUGAAGAUCGGAUUUGAGGAAGAACCAAUUGAAGUUUGGAGGAAAGUUUGAGAUUAAUGGAUGGAAAGUGUUCUUCGACCACGACACACUAAGAAGACAGACAUGUUCAUGAAUGCUGUAAUUGCGAAAGGAUACUAUGUUUUGCGUUCUCGAGGUUAGGAGGCCCUUUUUCUGUUAUCCAAAUACUUUAUACGCUUAGACACCCCUUUUGAGCUUGUAUUAUUUUCUUUGACCACCUUCUUUUGGAUUCAAGUUUAGAGUUAUAAGUUCGAAAAUGAAAAUGAAAUGGAAAAAAUGAAAAGGAAAGUCUAUGCCCCAAAAGUAUGAACUGGGGCAACUGUUAGAAAGUUCUAGUGAAAAAGAAGAAGAUAAAAAUAGUCAAAGAUUUAUGCCCCCAGAAAAUAAAGGUUGGGGCAACUUAUUUUGAAAAAAAAAAUGAAAAAAAAGAAAAGAAAAAGAAACGGAAAGAAAGAUGAAAAAAAAUAGUUAUGUUAGAUGUUUGAACUACGUUUGACCUGAUUCCUUUAAAAAAGGAUACGUAGGCAACCUUAUACGGUUCUGUCCAACCAAAUAAGAAUUUAGAAGAAAACAAAUCCAAAAAUCUCAGUAUCUAAAACUGGGGCAUGAGUUUGUUUUAAUUUUUUUUAAGAGUCGAUUCCGAGAGUCGUAAGUGUACAACCCAUCAUAUUUAGUCUACUUAGAGCCUUCAUGCCAUCCUUUCUUUCCAACCUUAUCCAAAAACCUUCCUAAUAAUAUCUCCCGAUAAGCCUUCAAGAAUGUCAAGAGAAGCAUGCAAUGAGCAAUGGUUGUCAUGCGACAUAUGACACUGUCAUGUUGCUCACACAAGAAAGCAAAAUAAAAGGAAAAAUAAAAAAGAAAAAAUGAGAGAGUAUUACUAGUGAAAACCCUCACGGGCACUAUAAGAUGAUGGUAUGUAGAGAUAAAGAAAUGAGAGAGAUUUACUGGUAAAAAUUCCUCGGGGCACCACUAGUCGAAAGUGAGUCGUGAAGCUGAUGCAAAGAAUUGGCACAAACAAGCCCAACUUCAAAUGUCAUAAGAAUGGUAAAAGGAAAGAUUAGAUCAGUUUGAUAGAUCAGGUCGUUGAGUCCAAAAUGCAUGUCAUGAUCAUUAAGGCUAGUUAUUGAAAAAAAAACUCUUCCUUCUAUCUUGCCCGACAAGGGCAUUUCUUGUUAAUAUUAUUUCUUUGCAUCAUUGUGUCCUUCACUUUGAGUUAGUCCUUGUCAAAACAAGCAAGAAAAUAUUUCAAAAUCUGCUACCAGCUUUUCAGUUGCACAAAGUAUAUUUAGCCAGCACACUCAGUUCUUACAGUCAACAUACCUUGAGGAUUCAUGCAAAGGCUCCCCACCAAAAGACUCUUGUUAACCUACUUGGCUAAAGCAAACAAAGAUAACCUCAAGGUUAAUCAGGGAUUCUCUGUAAUACUGAACAAAGUCUAUGAAGUGCGCACAUCAUGCAAAAGGCAUUUACCAGUUGUGAUUCUCUAUGAUAGACAUAUUGCUCCAAAAGCAAAGGCCAUUCAAGAUAUCAGAAAAGGUUAUCCAAGAAAAGAAAUCUCUUUUUUGAGAUAAGGCUGAUUGUGCCACAAAACAUAAUAGCACUGGGAGCGAAAUAAUCAGGGUUGAUACAGAAAGUAAAGGUCCCUUGUAAGCAACAACAGAAUCUCCCAGUAGUGCAGCCAACUACCAAUGCAAUCGCUCUUCCAAAGGCUGGAUGAUCACAAAACUAAACCGCCCAAGACUCAAGGCCACAAGCCGACCACCACUUUUAAAACUGACAAAAUUUUCUUUGUUUGAAACAGGAACAGAGCAAUGCAAGGAAAGUGGUUCAAAAAAAAGAGAAAAAGAAGGGGGGGGGGGGGAGCCAACAAAGGAAAGUUUCUCAAAUCUUUGCCUUUAUUUGACUUUCUAGUGUGCAUAAAAUUGUGCCAUUGCUCUUCACAUUUUUCCUCCUAGGAUAAAAUGUCAUAUUCUAAUGAAUUUUCCUCCC